rnacentral:lncRNA from 1 species
GCAUAUAUUGUAGUAUCUAUAUAUUGUAGUAUCUGUUUUAUUUAAAGAAGUACAUACAUUGAAUGGUACGUAUAUAUAUGUAUAUAUUUUCUAAAGUACUAUAUUAACAUAUACAUGUGUAUAUGUUUUAUAAAUUAGCAUAUAACUAUAUAUAUAGUGUAUGUAUAUAUUUUAGUAUAUGUUUUAUUAAAGGCAAAAUUCAUACGCAGCCCC